rnacentral:lncRNA from 1 species
GCGCUGUUGUUUUCGUCGCUGCUGCUGCUACUGCGGUCAAACUUUCUGGUGUUUUAGCUACAGUAUUGUGGCCUGGAAUCUGUGGUCUGGGAGGCAUCAGGCUAAUCUACAGAUUUUUGUCCAGAGGGACCUCUGCUGCAGUACAGAAGAACCCAAUCAGAAUGAAAGGCACAAAGAUCAUCCUACACAAUGAAUCCUUGCCUCAAGCCUAUGCUGGAACACAGUUUCAAGAGUGAUCCUGAAACUCAAGUGAUGGACACCUGUCUGAACAGUCCCU